rnacentral:lncRNA from 1 species
UUUUUUUUUCUCCAGCCACUGGGGGUUUAGGUAGCUGGCCUCUGUCAGCCUCAGAUCUUUGCUGUGUCUCAGAAGAUAUUUGGGGGAAGAUAUUCUGCCACUGGGCCACACUGGGGUCUACUGUUAAAAACUUUUCUCUGCUAAGGAACUUUGGUUCCUCUUAAGUGAGACCCAAUGUAGACCUGCUCUUGAAGUCAGUACCCUAUAUCAACACAUCUCUGCUAAGUUUUUUUUUUAAUGACACAGCAUGUCACCUCAAACUUCUCUGACAAGCACCUUUGCAAGCUCAGUGUUCUAACUCUGCCAAGCGAAAACUGUGAAUCAUUGAGGUUUCGUCACUUUCUUAAGGCAGAUCUCAACCCCAAGUGUAUGGCUCCAUCAGAAACACACACUCUGUUCCCAGGUCUCUAUGCAUAGGCGAAACAAAGCCAAGGGAGAAAGCAGAGUUGGCUCUGCUCUGGCAAUGAGAGGAAAGGCAGUUGUAGACAGGUCCAGCUUUGAGAGUCCAGGACCCGGACAGCUGGAAGAGAUAGAUCAUCAAAUGCCCUCAAGCCAGGCUGACUUCCCUGUGAGGAUCUGGGGAAGCUGCUGCAGACUUCCUGGUCCUGGCUUGGAAGCAUCUCCCUAAUCUGGCCCUGAGUGACAUGAGUGACUAUAGUCCACUAUCAUGAACCAAUGGAGCCAGGGGUCUCCAGGCAACCUCUCAGAAGUCUUCAAGCCAAAAGAGCAGGGUCAUUGUCAAUGUUAACACUGUAAUCCAGCUUUCUUUGGGUCAUAGAAGUACAUCCUCUAGCAAUAUAUUUGGGGUGCAGUUGUCCCUCUAGAAAAUUCUGUUUAGAAACAGACCAUGUUCUUGACCAACAUCACAAAUAGGGUCCAACAAUGGUCUCCAAAGACUUCUCAUUUAUCACUGACCACU